ACAUAAUCACAACUCAUCAAGGAAUAAACACCAGGGCUGCGUUUGGUUCAGGUAUAAGUAAGAACUGCUUGUUCCAGGGAUAGGUACAAGUUCAGGUAUAAACAGGAACUAGGCCAAUUUUGCGUUUGGAUGAAAAUUGAGUUGUUCCUAGAAAUAAGGUAUAUAGCGUUUGGAUGGUUAAAUUGGAACAAGAGGAAUAAAAGUUAUAAUUUCAAAUUAAAAUUAUAUUAUCUAAUUAAUUAACACCAAAAUAUUACUUAAAAACAAAUAAUAAAUAAAUUAUUAAUAAAUAAUUAUAAAUAAUAAUAAUUAUUAAUUAUUAAUUAUUAUUAUUAAUUAUUUAUAAUUAUUUAUAAGUAAUAAAU
rnacentral:lncRNA from 1 species